CAGCAGCUGCGGGAAAACGUAGGUGGCAAGCGUUGUCCGGAAUUAUUGGGCGUAAAGCGCGCGCAGGUGGUUUAAUAAGUCUGAUGUGAAAGCCCACGGCUCAACCGUGGAGGGUCAUUGGAAACUGUUAAGCUUGAGUGCAGGAGAGAAAAGUGGAAUUCCUAGUGUAGCGGUGAAAUGCGUAGAGAUUAGGAGGAACACCAGUGGCGAAGGCGGCUUUUUGGCCUGUAACUGACACUGAGGCGCGAAAGCGUGGGGAGCAAACAGGAUUAGAUACCCCAGUAGUCCCUGUCUCUUAUAC
rnacentral:rRNA from 1 species